rnacentral:rRNA from 1 species
UACGUAGGGGGCUAGCGUUGUCCGGAAUCAUUGGGCGUAAAGCGCGUGUAGGCGGUCCGAUAAGUCCGCUGUGAAAGUCGAGGGCUCAACCCUCGAAUGCCGGUGGAUACUGUCGGGCUUGAGUACGGGAGAGGCGAGUGGAAUUCCUGGUGUAGCGGUGAAAUGCGCAGAUAUCAGGAGGAACACCGAUUGCGAAGGCAGCUCGCUGGAACGUUACUGACGCUGAGGUGCGAAAGCGUGGGGAGCAAACAGG